UACGAAGGGGGCUAGCGUUGCUCGGAAUCACUGGGCGUAAAGCGCACGUAGGCGGAUUGCUAAGUCAGGGGUGAAAUCCUGGAGCUCAACUCCAGAACUGCCUUUGAUACUGGCGACCUUGAGUCCGGGAGAGGUGAGUGGGAACUGCGAGUGUAGAGGUGAAAAUUCGUAGAUAUUCGCAAGAACACCAGUGGCGAAGGCGGCUCACUGGCCCGGUACUGACGCUGAGGAGCGAAAGCGUGGGGAGCAAACAGG
rnacentral:rRNA from 1 species